rnacentral:rRNA from 1 species
UGGGGAAUAUUGCACAAUGGGCGCAAGCCUGAUGCAGCCAUGCCGCGUGUGUGAAGAAGGCCUUCGGGUUGUAAAGCACUUUCAGCGGGGAGGAAGGCGGUGAGGUUAAUAACCUCACCGAUUGACGUUACCCGCAGAAGAAGCACCGGCUAACUCCGUGCCAGCAGCCGCGGUAAUACGGAGGGUGCAAGCGUUAAUCGGAAUUACUGGGCGUAAAGCGCACGCAGGCGGUCUGUCAAGUCGGAUGUGAAAUCCCCGGGCUCAACCUGGGAACUGCAUUCGAAACUGGCAGGCUAGAGUCGUGUAGAGGGGGGUAGAAUUCCAGGUGUAGCGGUGAAAUGCGUAGAGAUCUGGAGGAAUACCGGUGGCGAAGGCGGCCCCCUGGACAAAGACUGACGCUCAGGUGCGAAAGCGUGGGGAGCAAACAGG